UCUACUUCGGUAGUGACGUUUCGGAAGCGAGCGGCGGAUGGGUGAGUAACACGUGGGUAACCUGCCCUUAAGUCUGGGAUACCACUUGGAAACAGGUGCUAAUACCGGAUAACAACAAGUGCUGCAUGGCACUUGCUUGAAAGGCGGCGCAAGCUGUCGCUAAAGGAUGGACCCGCGGUGCAUUAGCUAGUUGGUAAGGUAACGGCUUACCAAGGCAACGAUGCAUAGCCGAGUUGAGAGACUGAUCGGCCACAUUGGGACUGAGACACGGCCCAAACUCCUACGGGAGGCAGCAGUAGGGAAUCUUCCACAAUGGGCGAAAGCCUGAUGGAGCAACGCCGCGUGAGUGAAGAAGGUUUUCGGAUCGUAAAGCUCUGUUGUUGGUGAAGAAGGAUAGAGGUAGUAACUGGCCUUUAUUUGACGGGAAUCAACCAGAAAGUCACGGCUAACUACGUGCCAGCAGCCGCGGUAAUACCUAGGUGGCAAGCGUUGUCCGGAUUUAUU
rnacentral:rRNA from 1 species